GACGAACGCUGGCGGCGUGCCUAAUACAUGCAAGUGGGACGCAAGAGAACACACUGUGCUUGCACACCGUGUUUUCUUGAGUCGCGAACGGGUGAGUAACGCGUAGGUAACCUGCCUAUUAGCGGGGGAUAACUAUUGGAAACGAUAGCUAAUACCGCAUAAUAUUAAUUAUCGCCUGAUAAUUGAUUGAAAGAUGCAAGCGCAUCACUAGUAGAUGGACCUGCGUUGUAUUAGCUAGUUGGUAAGGUAAGAGCUUACCAAGGCGACGAUACAUAGCCGACCUGAGAGGGUGAUCGGCCACACUGGGACUGAGACACGGCCCAGACUCCUACGGGAGGCAGCAGUAGGGAAUCUUCGGCAAUGGACGAAAGUCUGACCGAGCAACGCCGCGUGAGUGAAGAAGGUUUUCGGAUCGUAAAGCUCUGUUGUGAGUCAAGAACGUGUGUGAGAGUGGAAAGUUCACACAGUGACGGUAGCUUACCAGAAAGGGACGGCUAACUACGUGCCAGCAGCCGCGGUAA
rnacentral:rRNA from 1 species